rnacentral:misc_RNA from 1 species
AAGUCGUAACAAGGUUUCCGUAGGUGAACCUGCGGAAGGAUCAUUAUCGAAAAUAGCUGCUACGUCCUGAUAGUAGAAGGCGAAGGAUUCGAAUCCAGCCGAGUUAGUAUUUUAGUGCGUGCUUCCCAACACUAGUAUUUUAGUGAGUGCUUCCAAAAGAAGCCCCUAGUACUUGUGGUGCACCAAAGAAGCCCCUAGUACUUUCGCGGUUGCUUUCGAGCCGAUGUACCCUCUACGAUUUUUGGACCAAUUGCUCUCUCACGAGAGGUAGCAACUUAAUUCAACCACUUGUGAAUUUGUAAUUUAUUUUACCAACUGACUGUUAACGAAGACUGAUUCAAUAACUUGUUGGUGUUUAAAGACACUAAUACAAUCAUUGAAACAACUUUUGGCAACGGAUCUCUUGGCUCUC